rnacentral:lncRNA from 1 species
CAACAGGGAAGUACUUUGGAGGAAUGGGGUUCUGAGCAGAGGUGGGAGGAGGUGGGAAGGACAGGGAUGGUGUGACUCUGCAGGACCUCCCUCCUGCCUUGAGGCCUCGGCAGGCACCGCUGGGGGCUCCAGGCCUGGUCAGUGCAGUCACGGCUUCUCGGGCAGGGCCUUGGGGGCGGUAGAGCAAGGACACAAGACACAGCCCUCACAGCUGGUAGCAGAAUGGGGGCUGCAGAUGGAGUUUUUGCUGUUGUUACCCAGACUGGAGUGCAAUGGCACGAUCUCAGCUCACCUCAACUUCCGCUUCCCGGGUUCAAGUGAUUCUCCUGCCUCAGCCUCCUGAGCAGCUGAGACUACAGCCUCCCUCUGCUGCCUCUGCCUGCCUGCUGCCUCUUGUCUAGCUGCUGUCAGGAGCUGACGGCCACCAGGGCUGGAAUCCUGUGACCCCUCUGUGCCCAGGUAAGGAGGCAGUGGCCCAGGGGCUGAGCAGCCUAAUACCCUCUCUGCACCCACAGAAGGCAAAGUUUUACUAGGUGAGAGGGCUGUUACUAGCUAGGAUGGCAGAAGGUUGAGUUUACCAAAGAUUGGAGGGGACUUGAUACCCAGAGGAGGCACGGACCAAGUUUUCUUAGGCGUUAACUCAAUGCUAGGUACCAGGGUAAACCACUCAACUGUCUG